rnacentral:rRNA from 1 species
GACGAACCGUGCGAACGUUGUUCGGAAUCACUGGGCUUAAAGGGCGCGUAGGCGGGGUGGACAGUCUGUGGUGAAAUCCUCCGGCUCAACCGGAGAACUGCCGUGGAUACUGCCACUCUCGAGGGGUGUAGGGGCAUGCGGAACUUCGGGUGGAGCGGUGAAAUGCGUAGAUAUCCGAAGGAACGCCGGUGGCGAAAGCGGCGUGCUGGACACCUUCUGACGCUGAGGCGCGAAAGCCAGGGGAGCAAACGGG